rnacentral:rRNA from 1 species
GAUGCACGCUGACAGAAUGCUUAACACAUGCAAGUCAACUGUGGCGGACGGGUGAGUAACGCGUAAAGAACUUGCCUCACAGAUAGGGACAACAUUUGGAAACGAAUGCUAAUACCUGAUACUGUGAGAGAGCUUUGCGUCCCAUUAGCUAGUUGGAGAGGUAACGGCUGACCCAGGCGCUGAUGGGUAGCCGGCCUGAGAGGGUGAUCCGCCACAAGGGGACUGUGACACGGCCCUUACUCCAACGGGAGUCAGCAGUGGGGAAUAUUGGACAAAGGACCAAAGUCUGAUCCAGGAAUGCUGUGUGCACGAUGAAGUUUUCGGAAUGUAAAGUGCUUUCAGUAGGGAAGCGGUACCAACAGAAGAAGUGACGGCUAAAUACGUGCCAGCAGCCGCGGUAAUAC